GCUUUGGUGGGGUAGUGGUAACCUGGGUCGUUGCCAUUAGGUUGCAUAAGUGUCGAUUCAUUCGACCCGCCGGGGGUUCGAUUCCCUCCCAAAGCA